rnacentral:rRNA from 1 species
ACGUAGUUAGCCGUGACUUAUUCCUGAGGUACCGUCCUCUCUCGUCCCCCAGAAAAGAGCUUUACAACCCGAAGGCCUUCAUCGCUCACGCGGCGUUGCUGCCUCAGACUUGCGUCCAUUGGGCAAUAUUCCU